rnacentral:rRNA from 1 species
AACACAUGCAAGUCGAACGCCCCGCAAGGGGAGUGGCAGACGGGUGAGGAACACGUGGGAACGUACCCUUCGGUUCGGAACAACCCUGGGAAACUAGGGCUAAUACCGGAUACGAGCGAGAGCUGAAAGGUUUACCGCCGAAGGAUCGGCCCGCGUCUGAUUGGCUAGUUGGUGAGGUAACGGCUCACCAAGGCGACGAUCAGUAGCUGGUCUGAGAGGAUGAUCAGCCACAUUGGGACUGAGACACGGCCC